CCCCGGCGAGCGGCGCGAGCUCCCGCUGAGGUAACUGAAACUCCCCCGAAGCACGAAUUUGAGGCAACGCUAAGAAAGGGUGAAAGUUUAACAAAAAGUUUUUUUGACAGAUCAAUUUCUUGAGCUUCCUGAGUCUGUCUCAUGUUUUAAUUCCACCUGGCUCAGCAACUCCAAGACAGUCACGUGACCAGGUAAAGCUCUACCUAAAAGUUAGAUGCUCUCAUACCUUGGAUGAUUCAAAACAGCGCAAACCCAGAAUGAACCCAGAAAAAGUCAAGACGGGCAAAUUACAAGAGAUACAAGUUAAUUCCCUGAGACACAAGUCUCUGCAUGAUACGCAACUCGCUCACAUCCAUUCAUUCCACCCUGCUGGGGAAGAGUGUUCCAAAACUAACCUUUUUAGAAUUUAAAAUAUUUCUACUUGAUAACUGGAAGAAAAUAAGCUGUUUCCAAUAUGCCAAACCAGUGUGGUAAAUCUUUUAAUAAAAAUAGUAAGACACAGUUACUUUGUAAUUUUAAAGGAAGUGAAAAGUGCAUCUUUAUAAUAUUAUGGUAUUAUUGUUAAACAGAUUGCAGUAUCUGAAAUCUAAGUCACUAAACUUUACGAACUCCUCUAUAGCUUGGCAUAACCUUUGAAUGCAUCAAUUUUUCACCUGAAAGUUAGGAUAAUAAAAUGAAUAAAAGACCAUGAGGAUAAUAUAAAGAAUUUUUUUAAGUGUUGUACUAGUAUUAAUUCUCACAUAAUGUGGAAUUAUAAGACGUAAUAUAAAUGGACACAAUAUUUCUGUGCUGUUCAUUGUACCAAUUAAUCAUACAGUUAUUGCUCUAGAAGAUUAACAUUAUUAACAAGAAAACAAAAAAAUUCAACCUUCCUCUCUAGCCCUUUUAAAUGUAACAGUAAAAUACAUGGAUAUGUAUCUAUCCUCAUAACCAGCAAGAGGCUAUGAGGAUAGAGUUAUUUAGUUCCUGAUUUUAUUUUUGCUAAUAUUGUUACUGUCAGCAUAAUUUAGGGGCUUAAAAGUAGAUAUAUCCAUUUUGUUGGCUUGAUGGAUACAUAAAUAUUAAUCAGAAACCUGACCCAAUGCCCAAUAAAGUCAGUAAAAAUAUAUCCUAAUCAUAUUGGAAUAAGAAAGGUUUAGCUUCUGUAAAUGCAGCAGUUUCUCUUGUACAAAUAACACCCCCUAUACUCAGCACAGCAUGUGCAAAGCACAACAAUCAUCACUACAGGUCUGGAGUACCAGAGUGUAAACACAACAAAGAUCUCCCUAUUUACAGCUUGAAGUUCUGCCUUUCUUGAACUCUGUGUCUGGAACUUAUCCUGCCUAGAUUAGAGCGGACAAAGAGAAGUAUUUGUUGCUUCACCUUAAAUUCGCUAUAAAUUUAUCACAAAACAAACAGAUAGUGGGCUUCAUGAAGUACUGGACUGAAGAAGCAGAGGUGCUAUAAACUGGAAACAAAAUAUAUUGAAAGAGGUGUUUGGAUGCUAGCACUGGAAUUGUAUGAAGCACUGCAUACAAACUCAAAAGUAUAUUGUUUCAAAUAUUACAGUUUAUACAAUGCCUCAUAGUACAAUGCUCACAAAUUACCAAAUUAAUAUAAAAAUUAAAAAAGGAAAAAGGACAUCAAGUACUUUCUAUCACUGGAUGAAAAAGCAGCAAAAAUAAACCAGAAAGAAAGGAGAUUCUGAACAUGGAAAUUAGACUCAGAUUUAUGUCCACCCAUGUUCAAAUAUUUUGUAUUAUGAACAUACUCUGUGUUUGUAACGUGCAUUCUAAGUGAGGCUCUUACUGGGCUCCUCAAAGACUACAGUAGUAUGAGACAUGGUUCAAAACAAAUCACAACUGCACCUCAAACGUAAAAUGGUGAUGAAAGAAAAGUACAGUAGAUGCUCCGGCUGCUGAAAUUCUGUUUACUUCAAGCAACACUUCAAGAACACACUAAAUAAUGGUAGUCCACACAUUUAUUAUUUGGUAGGCACAGUAUCGCACUGGAUACUUAACACUCACAUUCCAU